rnacentral:rRNA from 1 species
CUACGGAGGGUGCAAGCGUUAAUCGGAAUUACUGGGCGUAAAGCGUACGUAGGCGGUCCGUUAAGUUAGAUGUGAAAGCCCCGGGCUUAACCUGGGAACUGCAUUUAAAACUGGCGAACUAGAGUUGAGUAGAGGGGAGUGGAAUUUCAGGUGUAGCGGUGAAAUGCGUAGAGAUCUGAAGGAACACCAGUGGCGAAGGCGACUCCCUGGACUCGAACUGACGCUGAGGUACGAAAGCGUGGGUAGCAGACGGGAUUAGAUACCCUAGUAGUCC